rnacentral:RNase_P_RNA from 2 species
GUGAUGGGUCGCCCCACCGCGGCGCCCGACGCAAGAACGGCGACGAGGAAAGUCCGGGCAACACAGAGCACCCUGCUUCCUAACGGGAAGGACGGCGUGGCGUAAAGCUGCGCCGGACAGCCAGUGCCACAGAAAAGUACCGCCAGUUUUUAAGGGCAGGCGGGUAAGAAGGUAGGAGGGCAAGGGGGUUACCUCCCAAACUCUUACCCUAACACCGGCCUACCCUGCCAAAACCGGUAAGGGUGAAAAGGUGCGGUAAGAGCGCACCAGCGGCUGGGUGACUAUGCCGGCUGGGUAAACCUCAGGGGUUGAAAGACCAAAUAAGCUGGCACGUCGGCCCUUUCGGGGGCCGGCACCGGGCGGCUCGCCUGGGCGCCAGCGGGUAGGUUGAUGGAGCCUUUCCGCGAGGACUGGCCUAGAUAAAUGGUGGGGCCGCCGCUGCUUGCAGAGGCGGACAAAACCCGGCUUACAGACUCAUCACCACG